rnacentral:rRNA from 1 species
AAAAGGUGGCUAUGCUACCGCUUUUGGAUGGGCCCGCGGCGCAUUAGCUAGUUGGUGGGGUAAAGGCUUACCAAGGCAAUGAUGCGUAGCCGAACUGAGAGGUUGAUCGGCCACAUUGGGACUGAGACACGGCCCAAACUCCUACGGGAGGCAGCAGUAGGGAAUCUUCCACAAUGGGCGAAAGCCUGAUGGAGCAACGCCGCGUGGGUGAAGAAGGUCUUCGGAUCGUAAAACCCUGUUGUUAGAGAAGAAAGUGCGUGAGAGUAACUGUUCACGUUUCGACGGUAUCUAACCAGAAAGCCACGGCUAACUAUGUGCCAGCAGCCGCGGUAAUACGUAGGUGGCAAGCGUUAUCCGGAUUUAUUGGGCGUAAAGGGAACGCAGGCGGUCUUUUAAGUCUGAUGUGAAAGCCUUCGGCUUAACCGGAGUAGUGCAUUGGAAACUGGGAGACUUGAGUGCAGAAGAGGAGAGUGGAACUCCAUGUGUAGCGGUGAAAUGCGUAGAUAUAUGGAAGAACACCAGUGGCGAAAGCGGCUCUCUGGUCUGUAACUGACGCUGAGGUUCGAAAGCGUGGGUAGCAAACAGGAUUAGAUACCCUGGUAGUCCACGCCGUAAACGAUGAAUGCUAAGUGUUGGAGGGUUUCCGCCCUUCA